rnacentral:lncRNA from 12 species
CGAUAUUGUUUUAGCCAAAAUAUGGAUAUUACUUUUACUCUGAGAUUUGAGAUUAAGCCAAAAUUCAAAGAGGAUUGGACCAGAUGAUGGUUUGUACUGGGAACUUGAGAAACAUUGCCUAGGGUAACUCCUCCACUUCUGAGCCCAAAGAAAUAAGUAAAGAGAAGAAGAAGAAAAAGAACAGAUUAGGCAGCUAUGGUUUUGUGAUCCAAUGGAGCUGAAUAGUUCCUCUGUUGGAAACUUCCUUCCUGUUUGGAUCUCUGGAGCUAAAAUUUCAUGUUCAUCUACAGUACCUUUUACACUUUGCUCUCCUGAAAAUGCAGAGAACUUCGCUGAUUUACUAACAUCUAAGGAGGACUCCAAAGAACAGAAGCUUCUGUUGAAGAUUCUCAGAAGAAUGCUUAAUAUUUUAGUACAGUACUUCCUCCAUGCGAGAGUGAAAUGUGCAUAGUUUGUCACAAGAUGCUGAGAAACAAGAAAAGCAAAGAAAACCCUCCUAUGAUCACAGUGUACAAGGUGAAAGAGGGAAAUGCCCUUAUAUGGCCUUUGAUGAAAUAGAAGAGAAAAAUGAUGGCAGGUCACAUCCAAUGAGAAGCACUUGGAGAAUCUCAAGGAUGCAGGCAGCCUGCUGCGGGCGCUGGAGUGGCUUGCCCCAGCUGGGGAAUUAUCUGCUGACAGUGUGAUGGCUUCCUUGGCCCUGGAAAUCCUGCAAGCUAUUGGACACUAGGCAAGAAGGCACUUAGCACAAGCCUGCUGUGCAGCAAGCCCUUGGCUACACAUAUUCACCACAUACACACAUCACCACUGUAGCUCUAUCUGGACCUAAUGAAGUCAGCUAAACCCAGAAAAAAAAGGGGGCGGGGGGAAUGCCUGGGUGGCUCAGUAGUUGAGCGGCUGCCUUCAGCUCAAGGCGUGUUCCUGGGAUCUGGGAUUGAGUCCCAUGUAGAGCUCCCUGUAUGGAGCCUGCUUCUCCCUCUGCCUGUGUCUCUGCCUCUCUCUCUCUCUCUCUCUCUCUGUCUCUCAUGAAUAAAUAAAAUCUUAAAAAAAUAUAUUUUACUAGA